rnacentral:rRNA from 1 species
GAUGAACGCUAGCUACAGGCUUAACACAUGCAAGUCGAGGGGCAGCAUGGUCUUAGCUUGCUAAGGCUGAUGGCGACCGGCGCACGGGUGAGUAACACGUAUCCAACCUGCCGUCUACUCUUGGCCAGCCUUCUGAAAGGAAGAUUAAUCCAGGAUGGGAUCAUGAGUUCACAUGUCCGCAUGAUUAAAGGUAUUUUCCGGUAGACGAUGGGGAUGCGUUCCAUUAGAUAGUAGGCGGGGUAACGGCCCACCUAGUCAACGAUGGAUAGGAGUGCUUAAAGGAGUGUACCCCACAUUUGAACUAGGACAUGGUCCCAACUCCUACGGGAGGCAGCAGUGAGGAAUAUUGGUCAAUGGGCGAUGGCCUGAACCAGCCAAGUAGCGUGAAGGAUGACUUCCCUAUGGGUUGUAAACUUCUUUUAUAAAGGAAUAAAGUCGGGUAUGCAUACCCGGUUGCAUGUACUUUAUGAAUAAGGAUCGGCUAACUCCGUGCCAGCCGCCGCGGUAA